AUCCAACUGACAAGUCCCAUAUAGGACGAAAUGCGCUUACUGGAU
rnacentral:hammerhead_ribozyme from 1 species